rnacentral:lncRNA from 1 species
CGCAAGAAGAGGAGAGCCCUGCAUCAAGCAGCAAGGACACUUGCUCCGGCACACAAGCAGGCUGCCACACCUAUUCCGGCAACCACAAGACGACCAAGCGCGGUCGUUGCAACUAGCACGCCGACCGCUCCUAGCCGGACUACUGCACCAAGCCUGGCCACCAUACUCGUUCCGGCUACCACAAGCACACCUAAGCCAGCCACGGCAUCAAGCCCUACAAAGGCGUACCUAGUCCAACCACCACAUCAAGCCUGGCCACUAACAACCCCGACUGCAGUGUUGUUCCCUAGAAGCACACUCAGCUCUGCCUCUACACCAAGCUUCACCACAACAUCCAGCCCAGUGACCGCACCAAAGUCCAGUACCAAAUACACUGUGGCCAUCGAAAUCGUACUCAGCCCAGUCUUUCCACCCAGCUGCCAAACAACUUCACCAUGCACUGGUGGCAUGCCCAUUUCCGCAAAUCGCAAUGUAACGUUCAAGAAGGAAGGGUCUAGCAUAUGCGCUGCCACUCGCGCCGCAGAGCGCAAGAAGAGAAUAGUCUUGCAACGAACUUUUGUGUUACCUAAUCAAGCCACUACACCAAACCCUGCUACCAUGCCUGCCGCUGUCAACCGGGCUGAUGUAAUAAGUCUCCCAAACACACCAAGCCCUGAUGUCAUGCCCACAAUAGCUGCCACGGGCCAGCGAAAUACUGCUAAUUGGCCCACUACUCAGAGCAACGAGGAGUCGAGGAACUUAGGGGAAUUUGCUCUGGAACUAACAAGAUCAAAUUUUGAAUUUUACAAGGGCAAAUCCUGGUGA